UUCGACACACUAUCAUUAACUGAAUCCAUAGGUUAAUGAGGCGAACCGGGGGAACUGAAACAUCUAAGUACCCCGAGGAAAAGAAAUCAACCGAGAUUCCCCCAGUAGCGGCGAGCGAACGGGGAGCAGCCCAGAGCCUGAAUCAGUAUGUGUGUUAGUGGAAGCGUCUGGAAAGGCGCGCGAUACAGGGUGACAGCCCCGUACACAAAAAUGCACAUGCUGUGAGCUCGAUGAGUAGGGCGGGACACGUGGUAUCCUGUCUGAAUAUGGGGGGACCAUCCUCCAAGGCUAAAUACUCCUGACUGACCGAUAGUGAACCAGUACCGUGAGGGAAAGGCGAAAAGAACCCCGGCGAGGGGAGUGAAAAAGAACCUGAAACCGUGUACGUACAAGCAGUGGGAGCACGCUUAGGCGUGUGACUGCGUACCUUUUGUAUAAUGGGUCAGCGACUUAUAUUCUGUAGCAAGGUUAACCGAAUAGGGGAGCCGAAGGGAAACCGAGUCUUAACUGGGCGUUAAGUUGCAGGGUAUAGACCCGAAACCCGGUGAUCUAGCCAUGGGCAGGUUGAAGGUUGGGUAACACUAACUGGAGGACCGAACCGACUAAUGUUGAAAAAUUAGCGGAUGACUUGUGGCUGGGGGUGAAAGGCCAAUCAAACCGGGAGAUAGCUGGUUCUCCCCGAAAGCUAUUUAGGUAGCGCCUCGUGAAUUCAUCUCCGGGGGUAGAGCACUGUUUCGGCAAGGGGGUCAUCCCGACUUACCAACCCGAUGCAAACUGCGAAUACCGGAGAAUGUUAUCACGGGAGACACACGGCGGGUGCUAACGUCCGUCGUGAAGAGGGAAACAACCCAGACCGCCAGCUAAGGUCCCAAAGUCAUGGUUAAGUGGGAAACGAUGUGGGAAGGCCCAGACAGCCAGGAUGUUGGCUUAGAAGCAGCCAUCAUUUAAAGAAAGCGUAAUAGCUCACUGGUCGAGUCGGCCUGCGCGGAAGAUGUAACGGGGCUAAACCAUGCACCGAAGCUGCGGCAGCGACGCUGAUGCGUUGUUGGGUAGGGGAGCGUUCUGUAAGCCUGCGAAGGUGUGCUGUGAGGCAUGCUGGAGGUAUCAGAAGUGCGAAUGCUGACAUAAGUAACGAUAAAGCGGGUGAAAAGCCCGCUCGCCGGAAGACCAAGGGUUCCUGUCCAACGUUAAUCGGGGCAGGGUGAGUCGACCCCUAAGGCGAGGCCGAAAGGCGUAGUCGAUGGGAAACAGGUU
rnacentral:rRNA from 1 species